rnacentral:rRNA from 1 species
AUGCAUGUCUAAGUAUAAGCAAUUAUACAGCGAAACUGCGAAUGGCUCAUUAUAUAAGUUAUCGUUUAUUUGGUAGCAACUUACUACUUGGAUAACCGUGGUAAUUCUAGAGCUAAUACAUGCUAAAAACCCCGACUUCGGAACGGGUGUAUUUAUUAGAUUAAAAACCAAUGCCCUCCGGGGCUCCUUGGUGAUUCAUGAUAACUUGGCGAAUCGCAUGGCCUUGCGCCGGCGAUGUUUCAUUCAAAUUUCUUCCCUAUCAACUUUCGAUGUUCGGGUAUUGGCCAAACAUGGUUGCAACGGGUAACGGAGGGUUAGGGCUCGACCCCGGAGAAGGAGCCUGAGAAACGGCUACUACAUCCANGGAAGGCAGCAGGCGCGCAAAUUACCCAAUCCCGACACGGGGAGGUAGUGACAAUAAAUACUGAUACAGGGCUCUUUUGGGUCUUGUAAUUGGAAUGAGUACAAUUUAAAUCCCUUAACGAGGAACAAUUGGAGGGNNNNNNNNNNNNNNNNNNNNNNNNNNNNUCCAGCUCCAAUAGCGUAUAUUAAAGUUGUUGUGGUUAAAAAGCUCGUAGUUGAACCUUGGGCCUGGCUGGCCGGUCCGCCUCACCGCGUGUACUGGUCCGGCCGGGCCUUUCCCUCUGUGGAACCCCAUGCCCUNCACUGGGUGUGGCGGGGAAACAGGACUUUUACUUUGAAAAAAUUAGAGUGCUCCAGGCAGGCCUAUGCUCGAAUACAUUAGCAUGGAAUAAUGAAAUAGGACGUGUGGUNCUAUUUUGUUGGUUUCUAGGACCGCCGUAAUGAUUAAUAGGGACAGUCGGGGGCAUCAGUAUUCAAUCGNCAGAGGUGAAAUUCUUGGAUCGAUUGAAGACUAACUACUGCGAAAGCAUUUGUCAAGGAUGUUUUCAUUAAUCAGGAACGAAAGUUAGGGGAUCGAAGACGAUCAGAUACC